UACGAAGGGGGCUAGCGUUGCUCGGAAUCACUGGGCGUAAAGGGUGCGUAGGCGGGUCUUUAAGUCAGGGGUGAAAUCCUGGAGCUCAACUCCAGAACUGCCUUUGAUACUGAAGAUCUUGAGUUCGGGAGAGGUGAGUGGAACUGCGAGUGUAGAGGUGAAAUUCGUAGAUAUUCGCAAGAACACCAGUGGCGAAGGCGCUCACUGGCCCGAUACUGACGCUGAGGCACGAAAGCGUGG
rnacentral:rRNA from 1 species